AGUGAACGCUGGCGGUAGGCCUAACACAUGCAAGUCGAACGGCAGCACAGUAAGAGCUUGCUCUUACGGGUGGCGAGUGGCGGACGGGUGAGGAAUACAUCGGAAUCUACUUUUUCGUGGGGGAUAACGUAGGGAAACUUACGCUAAUACCGCAUACGACCUACGGGUGAAAGCAGGGGAUCUUCGGACCUUGCGCGAUUGAAUGAGCCGAUGUCGGAUUAGCUAGUUGGCGGGGUAAAGGCCCACCAAGGCGACGAUCCGUAGCUGGUCUGAGAGGAUGAUCAGCCCAACUGGAAAGGAGAACACGGCCAGGAUCCUAAGGGAGGCAGGAGUGGGGAAUAUUUGAAAAAGGGGGGAAGCCUGAUCCAGCCAUACCGGGUUGGUGAAGAAGGGCCUCGGGUUGUAAAGCCCUUUUGUUGGGAAAGAAAAGCAGCAGGUUAAUACCCCGCUGUUCUGACGGUACCCAAAGAAUAAGCACCGGCUAACUUCGUG
rnacentral:rRNA from 1 species